rnacentral:snRNA from 1 species
GAUUUUGCUCAGUGGCAGUAUCACAGCCAGAGGCAUGAUUAUUGCUAAUUGAAAACUUUUCCCAAUACCCUGCCAUGAUGACUUGAAAUAUAGUCAGCAUUGGCAAUUUUUGAGUCUCUAUGGAAUAAAGA